rnacentral:rRNA from 1 species
UAGGGCCAUACCCCCCUGAACAUCCCUGAUCUCUGAUCUUGGAAGCUGAGCAGGGUUGGGCCUGGUUAGUACUUGGAUGGGAGAAAACAAGCAUUGUCUUUC